CCCUUCGGGGUGGAUCAGUGGCGAACGGGUGAGUAACACGUGGGUAACCCGCCCCUCACUCUGGGAUAACUCCGGGAAACCGGGGCUAAUACCGGAUACGACCUCCGAGGGCAUCUUCGGGGGUGGAAAGUUUUUCGGUGAGGGAUGGACCCGCGGCCUAUCAGCUUGUUGGUGGGGUAACGGCCUACCGAGGCUUUGACGGGUAGCCGGCCUGAGAGGGCGACCGGCCACACUGGGACUGAGAUACGGCCCAGACUCCUACGGGAGGCAGCAGUGGGGAAUAUUGCACAAUGGGCGAAAGCCUGAUGCAGCGACGCCGCGUGAGGGAUGACGGCCUUCGGGUUGUAAACCUCUUUCAGCAGGGACGAAGCGCAAGUGACUGUACCUGCAGAAGAAGCACCGGCUAACUACGUGCCAGCAGCCGCGGUAAUACGUAGGGUGCGAGCGUUGUCCGGAUUUAUUGGGCGUAAAGAGCUUGUAGGUGGCUCGUUGCGUCGGGAGUGAAAACCCGCGGCUCAACCGCGGGCCUGCUUCCGAUACGGGCGAGCUAGAGUUCGGCAGGGGAGACUGGAAUUCCUGGUGUAGCGGUGGAAUGCGCAGAUAUCAGGAGGAACACCGGUGGCGAAGGCGGGUCUCUGGGCCGAUACUGACACUGAGAAGCGAAAGCGUGGGGAGCGAACAGGAUUAGAUACCCUGGUAGUCCACGCCGUAAACGUUGGGAACUAGGUGUGGGGUCCAUUCCACGGGCUCUGUGCCGCAGCUAACGCAUUAAGUU
rnacentral:rRNA from 1 species